rnacentral:rRNA from 1 species
CUUCCUUCGGGAAGUGCAUAAAGUGGCGCACGGGUGAGUAACACGUAAGUAAUCUACCCUCGAGUGGGGAAUAACGUCCGGAAACGGACGCUAAUACCGCAUGAUGCAGCGGCACAGCAAGGUGACAGUUGUUAAAGAUUUAUCGCUUGGGGAGGAGCUUGCGGCAGAUUAGCUUGUUGGUAAGGUAACGGCUUACCAAGGCAACGAUCUGUAACCGGUCUAAGAGGACGGUCGGUCACACUGACACUGAAUAACGGGUCAGACUCCUACGGGAGGCAGCAGUCGGGAAUUUUGGGCAAUGGGGGAAACCCUGACCCAGCAACGCCGCGUGAAGGAUGAAGUAUUCCGGUAUGUAAACUUCGAAAGAAUAGGAAGAAUUAAUGACGGUACUAUUUAUAAGGUCCGGCUAACUACGUGCCAGCAGCCGCGGUAAUACGUAGGGACCAAGCGUUGUUCGGAUUUACUGGGCGUAAAGGGCGCGUAGGCGGCAAUUCAAGUCAUCUGUGAAAUCUCCGGGCUUAACUCGGAACGGUCAGAUGAUACUGCUUUGCUAGAGUGCGGAAGGGGCAAUCGGAAUUCUUGGUGUAGCGGUGAAAUGCGUAGAUAUCAAGAGGAACACCUGAGGUGAAGACGGGUUGCUGGGCCGACACUGACGCUGAGUGCGCGAAAGCCAGGGGAGCAAACGGGAUUAGAUACCCCGGUAGUCCUGGCCCUAAACGAUGAAUACUUGGUGUCUGGAGUUAUUAGUGCUCCGGGUGCCGUCGCUAACGUUUUUAGUAUUCCGCCUGGGGAGUACGCUCGCAAGAGUGAAACUC